UAACCACCAGUUCUCAUACAAUCACCAAAAUUAAGCAGCGUUGAGCCUGGUCAGUACUUAGAUGGGUGACUGCUUGGGAAUACCAGGUGCUGUAAG